GAAGAAGAAGAAGAAGAAGAAGUAGAAGAAGAAGAGGAGGAGAAAGAGAGAGAAAGAAAUCCGGGGAGAGAUGCCCGCUGAACGGAUGGAUUUUAUUUUCCCCGAGCUGUACGAGCCUCUGUGAGACAACAUGGGCUGCAUAGGAUCCCGGACCAUCACAGCGGAUGCUGUGCCGGUACAGAAAGAUGGGGAUCAGCAUGACCGUACCGAGGUUUCCUGGGAAGGAAUCAAUUCGUCCAUGGAGGACACUACUUCCAUUCUGCCUCGCCUCAAGAGGAAGCCCCCCCAGGCCUAUGGGAUCGGUGCCCUGGCUAAGUCCUCUCUGACAGGUGUGUCAGGUGUGUCUCGUUCCAUGAAGGACAAAGUGACCAAGCCCACCGCCAUGGCCCAGGGUCGCGUUGCCCACAUGAUCGAGUGGCAGAGCUGGGGCAAACCAACUGCGGGGCCGCCGGGGAGCGCGGGACUUAACAACCUGCAGAGGGAAAAGGAGAGGAGGAUGGAGAACGACGCUUACAGCGACCUGAGCGACGGCGAAAAGGAGGCUCGCUUUGCUGCAGGCAUCAUGCAGCAGUUUGCCAUCUCUGAGGCGACUCUGUUUGGCUGGACCUCGAUGGAUGGGGAGAGUAUGGGAGCCGGCUCCAACCAGGGCAGCGUCGCUCACCUCAGUGAGGUCAACCAGGAGAGCAUCACCAGCAGAGACCAGGUGCUCCACCACUCCUCGGCGGACGUCUGGCCUCACACCUACGUCUCACAGGGCCUGUACUGCCUGUCGUCAUCCGACGCCUGGGAGCCAAUCACCAGCCAGCCCUCGGACGUGGUCUCACCUGCUGCGAGCUCCUACAUCAUGGCUGCCGGUGGCAGCGGAGCGCCGGGUACACCUGGUGAGGGGUUCGAGGGGACGGUAGGCGGUUACCUUCAGCAGCAGCACCACGCUCAUUUCACCCUGCAGCAGCAGAGCCAGCUCCAUCAGCUCCAACAUAUUCACCAGUACCAGCAACAGCUGCUGCAGUUCCAACAACAACAGUCUAUGGAGCACAGGCUACAUAGCGCCUCCCAUUCCCUCCAAGCCACUCCCAACAGCACCAUCCACAGUCUCGGUCCUCCCACCCACCCUCGGCUGGCUGACCUGUGGGGAGCCGCGCAGGUCGAGCCACACCACGUAGGCACUCCCCUGCUGAAUCCAAAUGGUCGGAUUACAGACUCCGCGGACUAGAUGGUGGUUUAAUAUAUUCGGUCGAAGUUCGCAAAGGGCAACAGGGGCGCGUGAGACUGUAUGUACAGACGUAGGCAAGCAGGACAGGCAUCUCCAUUCAGUCAUUGUUGCAGAAUGAAGCCGGCUAACAGUUACAUAACGAAUCACGGCAUGUCUUGGUACGCAUUUAACACUGUUGUUAUUGUAGGAAGCCGAGGUUUUAGCUUCUUUGAUGUCGUUCCUCAGGCACCUGUCUUCAAAAGGUGGAAAGAGUGCACUCAUCAUAGAUGUUAAUGUUGUGCACAGGAAUAGCCCUUUUAGUCUUCUUGCAUCAUGUUUGACACUCUUCUUUGCUAAUUUGUUUUUUUUUGUUUUCUGGAUCUGGAUUUGUUUAUAUCAGCAGGCAUAUUUAGCACACAGCUGUAGUGCAAUGAAUGAUGGGAGAGACUGCCAGGGAAGUCAGCAAGGUGGACAUUGUCGGGCAGAUGAAUGGGCAGCUGGCUGACAUGGUCGGAGGCGUGGUGGAGACAGUCGGAGAGG